rnacentral:rRNA from 1 species
CCUACGGGUGGCAGCAGUGGGGAAUAUUGGACAAUGGGCGAAAGCCUGAUCCAGCCAUGCCGCGUGUGUGAAGAAGGCCUUCGGGUUGUAAAGCACUUUCAGUGGGGAAGAAAGCCUUGGGGCUAAUACCCUCGAGGAAGGACAUCACCCACAGAAGAAGCACCGGCUAACUCCGUGCCAGCAGCCGCGGUAAUACGGAGGGUGCGAGCGUUAAUCGGAAUUACUGGGCGUAAAGCGCGCGUAGGCGGUCUGAUAAGCCGGUUGUGAAAGCCCCGGGCUCAACCUGGGAACGGCAUCCGGAACUGUCAGGCUAGAGUGCAGGAGAGGAAGGUAGAAUUCCCGGUGUAGCGGUGAAAUGCGUAGAGAUCGGGAGGAAUACCAGUGGCGAAGGCGGCCUUCUGGACUGACACUGACGCUGAGGUGCGAAAGCGUGGGGAGCAAACAGGAUUAGAUACCCUUGUAGUC